AGAAAUAACAUGUCUGUUGAAAAAGGAUUUAUGGACGACAGGCUGCCCAAUCCACCAGCCAUUGGAGACACUGGAGGAGUCUUAAUAUUCAAAUCCCAAAGGGGAUAGAUUCUAAGAUGGCACCUGUGCUCCUGUCUGCUGAGGUCUCAGGCAGGGGAGGACCCAGAGGCUCAGAGGCAAGAUGUCGAAGAGAAAUAAAAGGCUCAGAAGUGGAAGAAUGAGCUUAGAGAUGAAAGAUUUGGUUCAAGUUCUAGCUCCUCCACGAUGUGACCUUGAAGCACGAGCCACAAAGCAAUUUGGACAGGAAUGGACGGACUGAUGGAAUCAUAGCAAAGAAGCAAAGACUGUCGAAUGAGUCCAAAGGGGAUGCUGCCACAGCAUGGCUUGAUGAGUGGUGUGUAGGUCUGCGCCCGGGAUCUGAACCCAUGAACCCUGGGCCGCCAAAGUGGAGCACACGAAGUUAACCACCAUGCCACCAGCCUGGCCCUCAGUUCGAGUUUUUAACCUUAGAAUUUCUUUUUGUUCUGUUUUAUAAUUUCAAUAAUUUUUU
rnacentral:lncRNA from 1 species